CUAGGAGCUGGGUUUGUUUGGGGUUCGGGGUGCCCCUGCUGUUCCAUGAAGGCCUGCAUUUCUUAGAAGCUGAGAACACCGGGGUGACAGCUCAACCCACUCUUGCCACCGCAGCUGGUGGUGGAGGACGGCGGUGGAGGAGCGGGCCUGGCAGCUGGGUGCACCGCCCCUCCUCGCCUCCUCGCCCCUCGCCUCUGCCGCUGCGGCUGCCUCCUCCACGUCCUCGGUGCCCCCACAAGGGAUGUGCUGCCCCCAACACCCCAGCCACAGCCCCAGGAGGCGGAGAGGCCCGGGCGCCCCACCGCCGUCCCUGGGCCAAGGCCCCAGACAGCUCGCUUCUAUAUUUGGGAGUUUGCUGAGGAUGCCAGGAGCUGGAUGCACGUGGUAGCGGGCAGCGGGCGGGGGCUGAGCGGCGGCCAGGUGGCCUCGGGCCGAGCCCAGGUGUCAAGUGAGCAGGAGACGCAGCCGCUGCGGGGACCCCCCCACCCCCCGCCCCGGGCUUCCUGGCGGGGCAGCUGUCUGGGCUCACAAUGGCUGAGCCGCCCUCCUGGAGCUUCAUGGCGGGCUGGCCGCCCUUCCUCUGCCAUUGUCUCCAGGCAGGGGCUUCCUGUCCUGCCCCUCCACCCGAGACCCCAUCUGACCCCGCCUCAGGCUGCGCCCGUGCCGGUUCCGGGCGCUGAUUGGUGGCACAAGAAGCCGGGGGCAGGACGUGGCGGCCCCUCACGUGCCCUCUGCCAGCCGCGCCCCUGCGGUUCCAUCCUCCCCAUGACCCUCACCUGCGCUGGCGAGGUUCCAGCCAGUUCACAGAUGGGGAAACCGAGGCCCAGAGAGGCCACAUCACCCGCCCAAGACCACGUGGUCCUGAAGGGGAAAGAUCGGGUUUGCCCAGGGCCCCUGUGUGAGAUGGGAGCGUUUCACGGCGCCGUGCCUCGGUCUCCCCAUCUGUCAAGUGGAAAUCACAGCACGUGCCUCCCACGGCUGCGGAGAAGAUGAGUUGUCCCGUUCCUUCCUCACCUUGUUUGGUGAGGCCCUCCCCAGACAGAAGAACUGCGUCCGGGGAGAGUAGACUGGCUCCCAGGCCCAAGGCAUCCUGGGAAGGAGGAAGGAGAAGAACCCAUGAGGCCGAGGGCGGCUGUGCCUCCGCCUCCCCUCCCCCAGGCUGGAACCCCCACCCCAGCUGCUCCGGGCACCAGCUCCCAGCCUGCGGGGCUGUGGGGAGAGGACCGCCAGCCUGGGGUUUCCAGCUUUCUGGGAAAAAAGUCAACAUCCACUAUGGAUCUGGUCUGGCCCCCUCCCGUGUCCACUGUCCUCCCCCAGGUCCCCCGACCCUGGUAGGACCCCUCCCCACCCAUGUCCAGGGCGGAGGGAGGGUCACAGUGGGCGGGCAGGGGUUAAUUCCUGGAGCCGGCGUGCUCCUCCCACCUCUGGACGAUCUGUCUCUGUCCUCAGCCAUUGGUGACCUUUUUUUUCCAUGACCACAAUCUUCCCC
rnacentral:lncRNA from 1 species